AGUUCGAUUCUGGCUCAGAUUGAACGCUGGCGGGAUGCUUUACACAUGCAAGUCGAACGGCAGCACGGACUUCGGUCUGGUGGCGAGUGGCGAACGGGUGAGUACGUAUCGGAACUGCCUAGUAGUGGGGAUAACUACGCGAAAGCGUAGCCAAUACCGCAUACGCCCUUCGGGGAAAGCGGGGACCUUCGGGCCUGCAAUUAGAGUGGCCGAUAUCGGAUUAGCUAGUUGGUGGGGUAACGGCUCACCAAGGUGACGAUCCGUAGCUGGUUUGAGAGAUGACCAGCCACACUGACCAGCGCCCAGACUCCCUACGGGAGGCAGCAGUGGGGAAUUUGACAAUGGGGAAACUCCUGAUCCAGCCAUCCCUGGCGUGGGUGCGAUGGGCCUUCGGGUUGUAAAGCAUCUUUGGCAGGAAAAGAAACGGCACGGGAUAAUACCCGUGCAACUGACGGUACCUGCAGAAUAAGCACCGGCUAACUACGUGCCAGCAGCCGCGGUAAUACGUAGGUGCAGCACAUCGGAAUUACUGGCGUAAAGCGCAGGCGGUUCGGAAAGAAAGAUGUGAAAUCCCAGAGCUUAACUUUGAACUGCAUUUUUAACUACCGAGCUAGAGUGUGUCGUGAGAGGAAUUCGGCGUGUGGCAGUGAAAUGCGUAGAUAUGCGGAGGAACACCGAUGGCGUAGCUGGCAGCUUCCUGGGAUAACACUGACGCUCAUGCACGAAAGCGUGGGGAGCAAACAGAUUAGAUACCCUGGUAGUCCACGCCCUAAACGAUGCUUCACUAGCUGUUGGGGCCUUCGGGCCUUGCAGCGCAGCUAACGCGAAGUUGACCGCCUGGGGAGUACGGUCGCAAGAUUAAAAACCCAGCUGUGAAUUGACGGGGACCCGCACAAGCGGUGGAUGAUGUGGAUUAAUCUUUGAUGCAACGCGAAAACCUUACCUACCUCUUUGACAUGUCUGGAAUCCCGAAGAGAUUUGGAGGGCUCGCAAGAGAACCGGAACACAGGUGUCGCACGGCUGUCGUCAGCUCGUGUCGUGAGAUGUUGGGUUAAGUCCCGCAAUGAGCGCACCCCUGUCAUUAGUUGCCACGAAAGGGCACUGACGAGACUGCCGGUGACAAACCGGAGGAAGGUGGGGAUGACGUCAAGUCCUCAUGGCUCCGCGGGUAGGGCUUCACACGUCAUACAAUGGUCGGGACAGAGGGUCGCCAACCCGCGAGGGGAGCCAAUCCCAGAAACCCGAUCGUAGUCCGGAUCGCAGUCUGCAACUCGACUGCGUGAAGUCGGAACGCGGUAAUCGCGGAUCAGCAUGUCGCGGUGAAUACGUUCCCGGGUCUUGUACACACCGCCCGCCACGACCAAGCGUGGGAGUGGGUUUUACCAGAAGUAGUUAGCCCAACUGCAAGGAGGGCGAUUACCACGGUAGGAUUCAUGACGGUGAAGUCGUAACAAGGUAG
rnacentral:rRNA from 1 species